CACAGGCCUUGCGCCCAGCGCAGUGACGGGCACAGGGCAGGGACUUGUGGGAUAAAAGUCACCUGCCCUUUUAUUUUCCUCGGAAAAGAGCUUUUCCUAAACUUUGGGGGCUUUCUGUCUCCAGAAUUAACAAAGGGAGAAGAGGUCUUUUUGGUGGAGCGCUGCUGCCCCCAUGCGGUUGGAUGGCGACACUACCGAAGAGCAGGCGAUCAAGCCUGGUAUUUUUGGGUUUCAGGUUCUGCGGCUUCCUGAGACCUGCAGUCCGGUCUCCGGGUCCCUGGGUCCCGGACGUGUCCAUCAGGGCUUCCAUUAGGGCCAUCACCUAAUGGACAAGCAUCAGGAGGAUGUGGCUUCUGCGGGAGAGCUUCAAAGGGUGCCCUACUUGCCCCUCUUGGUAACCAUGACAUCAUGGAAAUGGGAGGGGACCGCCCCAGCCCCCAAACACCUGGAGGGAAGUGGGAGACUUUUUCCACUUCCUGUUCUACUUGUGGCUACUGACUCAAUGUCUGACCUGUUUAUUAAUUGCAAAAUAUAGCUCGAUGUGUGCUACCCA